GAGCUCAGUAGCUUGUUUAUUUACCAAUUAAAAAUAUAGAAUUCUCUCUAUAGAAGUCUCUACAAACGCUCACAAAACAGAUUUUUUUCAGAUGAGUAUAUCCUUAAUGUUAAUACAUACACUGGGUAUUUGUGUUCCAAAAAUAAAACAUUGUUUCCAUCUGUCUCAUAUAUUGUCCACCUGAGCCAUUUCAGAGACACAGGUAUUGAGACUCAGAAAGAGUAAGUGACUUGUCUCUAAUAAUAAGUGGUAUAACUAGUACUUGAAAAGAAGCAUUCUCAUGCAAAAAUCAAAAUUAAAAUUCUACUUGGCUAAGAAAAUCUCAAAUAUAGAACAUAGUAUAUCAUAUUUGACAGAGAUGGUGGCUAAGGGUUUUUUUCCUUAUAAUUCUAAGUUCCUCCUUUAUUUUUAUAGGCAAAUGCUUUACCAUCUUUCAGAUAAGGGGUACAAAAUAUGGAUAUUCCAAUAUGGAUAUCCCAUAGCUAUUUCCCCCAAAUUACCCCUUGGCAAGGAGCUAGAAGAUUAAGCAAUUUAGAGCAGAAUUUGUAAAACUGUUUUUUCAGUUACUUUAAGAUUCUAACAAAAUUUGUGGGAAUUUUCUCCUAAAAAGAAUCACUCUUGUAAAGCCCAGCAAAGUGAUCAUUAGGGAUAUUGCAUGAGGGAGCCUUUCCCUUACGGAUUGCCUCCGUUUAUUUGCCACUAGCAAGCUUCUACAACAUUUUUUCCCUUUUUUAACAUUUUUGACAAGUUUUCUUUAAACGUGAUCAUGUUCCCCCCAAAAAUAUGUAGCAGCUGAGAAUUCUGCUCUCUCUACAUAUUAAUGUACCAAAGGAAAUAUCUUGAAAUACACAUAUAUAUGUAUAUAGGUAUAUACGUAUAUACAAAUUAACAUUGAACUCAUCCUUUGUGUUCUUAAAUAUCUUAAAGAAUUCAUUAAUUAUAUGCAUGAAUGGAUUUUUUUGCAAGAUAGUGAAGAAUAGAAAAUUACUUAGCUUUUGAAUAUAAAGCUUAGAAAAAAAUUAUUUCCUAUAUUCCUAUUCUUUGCGUUUAUCGUAUCAAGAGCUAAGCUUUGAGGACCUGAUCAUAGACAGAGUUUAGCAUAAGGGAAUUCCCAACCAGACAGUGAAAGAAAAGAAGGAAACACCACCUGUCCUGGUCCCAGGAUUUUAUGGAAGUAAGCCACAUAUAUAAAAGCAAGAAUCUAGGCAGAUGUCUUAAUCUGACUUGUGCAAAUUUCAAACCUGUAAUAAAAGUAUUUUAUAUGUCUUCAGACACUGGAUAUCUGAGAUUUAUGAAGGAGAUACUCCACACAAUGCUCUUCUCCCAUGUCGGUGGGUUCCAGUAAAGAAAAGAGAGAGGAUCAGCUUUGUUAUCUGGGAAGAGGGAUUAGCUGACACUCUUGAAUAUCUUUCAUCUCCUUUCAGCAUAGUGAGACCCAGAAAUCUCCACGUGCUUUUUAGAGUCAAUAGACGUAACCAUACUGAGAGCCAAGAAGACCUCAAUAAAUGUGCUAGGGCUCAAAAGGUAAAAGUCACUGUUGAAAUGGAGGCCGAAGGCAACCCAGGCAAGAAUCCAAGUGCAGAACCUGGCAGACAUUGAGAGAUAAGGGCCAAGGGAUGAUGAGGCAGCAGCAAAGAUUGCUAAUAAGGACUACCAGCCUAAAUUAAUGUAAAAAGAGAUGAGAUCCAACAUAAGGAAGCCGUAAACAUGAGACACAUCUACCAGCUGCACACCCAGGGAUGGGAUUGAGCCAAACCCUCUUUGGAGUACACCAGCCCAGGAGAACCUAGAGGCCACCUUAUGCAUCUGAAGAUUCUCUAUUUUCUUCAUUGCCACAUUCUCUUUCUAUCUUAACAGUCUGAAGAUUCUCUGUUUUCUUCAUUGCCACAUUCUCUUUCUAUCUUAACAGCCUUUUUCAACUCUUCCACUCCAUGAACACAGGACCAGGUAAAGGGAACACAUAGGAAAAACACCGAAAUUUCCUUGCAUUUUCCAAGCAGAGAUUGUGUAUAAAACAUUAAAAUAAAUCCAGUGGAUUCUGUUGACUCUUUCAAAGUCCCCCAAAACUCCCAUCCUAUGCCUGCUACAGAAAACUACUUACGUGUAGAGAAUUCACAGCAAAUAACAGAUUAGUUAGAAAGAAAUGAAGACACUAAACUUUUUCUUAAUAUCUGCUGUGGACUUUCUGUUUAUGUUGCCCCAAAAUUCAUAUGUUGAAACUUAAUCCUCACUGUGAGGGUAUUUGGAGGUGCCGGCUUUCAGAAGUAGUUAGCAAUGCACUUAGUGCCCUCAUCAAAGAGGCACCAGCGUGCUCCACCACGUGAGGUCACA
ensembl:lncRNA